UUCUUAUCCUGAGAGGUGGAGGGACUGGCCCUUUGAAGCCUCGGCAACGGGUCUGAGUAAGCGUCAUUCAGAAACUGUGCCAAUUCCAGCAAGUGAAGUCACUUGGAAGAUAAGAA
rnacentral:ncRNA from 1 species